AUGCUCUCCAAAGCGGCUCGAUGUGGGCACAUUAUUCAUGUGGUCUCUCACCUACUUCCGGAAGGGGUCUCUCACUUGCAAUAUGCGGAUGACACAAUCAUCUUGGUAGAGUUGGACAAUGCCUGUAUUGCCAAUCUGAAAUUUAUUUUGUUGUGCUUCGAAGUUGUUUCUGGUCUUAAGAUCAAUUUCGCCAAGAGUGAGGUUAUGGUGACGGGCGUUGACCGAGCGGAGGCCUUGUGGGUGGCCAGACUCCUCAACUGCUCCUUAGGUUCCUUUCCUUUCAAAUAUUUAGGUCUUCCUAUCUCUCCUGGUCUGCUUCACGCGAAAGACUUCGCUCCGGUGGUUGCUAAAGUGGGGAAUAGGGUGCUUCUUUGGAGGGGUAGGUAUAAUACCAAUGCUGGCAAAGUGGCUCUAAUCAAUUCUUACUUAUCCUCUCUCCUGUUGUUCCUUAUGGGCUUUUACCGUCUCACGGAUGGUGUGCAUGCUGGCUUCGACAAACAUAGGGGUGGCUUUUAUUGGAAUUCUGCAGAUAACAAAAGGAAGUAUAGGUUGGUUAAGUGGCAGCUUAUGUGCAAGCCUAAAAACCUUGGGGGGUUAGGCAUUAUUAAUACUCGGGUGAUGAAUAUUUGUCUGCUCAUUAAGUGGUUGUGGAAAAUUAUGACGGUUGGGGCCGAUGUGCUGUGGUUUUCGAUUCUUAAGGCUAAAUAUUUUCCUAACUCCAACCCUAUGUUUGCCCCUGCGCGGCGUGGUUUGUAG
rnacentral:rRNA from 1 species